UACGUAGGUGGCAAGCGUUGUCCGGAUUUACUGGGCGUAAAGAGCGCGCAGGCGGUCGUUCAAGUCGCGUGUGAAAGCCCCCGGCUCAACUGGGGAGGGUCACGCGAUACUGAUCGACUGGAAGGCAGGAGAGGGUAGUGGAAUUCCCGGUGUAGUGGUGAAAUGCGUAGAUAUCGGGAGGAACACCAGUGGCGAAGGCGGCUUUCUGGACGGUAACUGACGCUGAGACGCGAAAGCGUGGGGAGCAAACAGG
rnacentral:rRNA from 1 species